UAUUUUUCUUCUGAAGUGCUUUUACUGAUUAGUAUGGUAGAAAAUUCAGUUUUGGUUCGUUAAACCUAUUCUAUUCAAAUUGUCAGAAAUCAAACAACAAAUUUGACAGGUCAAUGUGAUUUGAGUUUUUACUUAAUGCAAGCUUCCAUAUUGCUUUCAACACCUAAUGCGCAUUGCAUAGCAGUGGGGGGGAAAUGUGGUGGCGGCAUCCUAUCAGAAGAGUUGAAGGUGUGGGCGGCAUUCAUUUAGUUAUUUUCAGCAACCUGUGAGAGUGUGUCAUACUGUUAAAUUCAUUAUUCAAUACCAGCAUUAUUCAAUGAAUCUGUAAUGAAACGUGCAUAAGAGCAUGUGACCCUAAAGAACAUGAUCGGGUAUAUAUUGUUAAAAUGGUCACCAUUUGGUUACAAUAUUGUGGCCAAUAAAUCAAUCACAAAUGUCUUAUGUUGGAGUCAAUAUUUAAUGUUAUUGAACUAACUUUGUUUUUUGAAUUAAAUGUAAUUUAUGUAAUUGCGUGUAACCCAAUUGUAACAGUUUUCUUUAGGUGAAGGAGAGUCAGACCAAAAUGCGGCGUGGCACACAACAUAGAAUGCCCAUCCAGCUCACGUCCUGACCAACACUAAAACAAGGAAAACACACACGAACGAUAGUCAGAACGUGACAGUACCCCCCCUCCAAGGUGCGGACUCCGAACGCACAACCUAAACCUAUAGGGGAGGGUGUGGGUGGACCCCACUCCAUAAUUGUCUUAGUCCACCUCCUUAGCGUCCCUAGAUAGGCGAUCCUCGCCGCCGACCUUGGCCUAGUAGUCCUCACCAAGGGCCCCACUGGACUGAGGGGCAGCUCGGGACUGAGGGGAAGCUCGGGGACUGAGGGGAAGCUCGGGGACUGAGGGGAAGCUCGGGGACUGAGGGGAAGCUCGGGGACUGAGGGGAAGCNNNNNNNNNNNNNNNNNNNNNNNNNNNNNNNNNNNNNNNNNNNNNNNNNNNNNNNNNNNNNNNNNNNNNNNNNNNNNGGGGGGGGGGGGGGGGGGUGCUCCCGCUCUCCCUUUCUGGCGCUCAAGGGCGCCAGGUUGCUCUUCAUUACACACCUGUCACCAUCAUUAUGUGCAGCAGCGCAGCGCUCAUUGGACUCACCUGGACUCCUUCCCUUUGUUGAUUGCCCCGUCUAUAACUGUCUCCUCCCCUGUUUGUUCCCUGUGUCUGCAUUAAUGUCAUUAUGUGUUCUUGUCCAGAUGCUGUCCUGUCCUGUUCCAUGUCCGUUGCCAUUAAAUGUUCACUCGCUGUACCUGCUUCUUGUCUCUACCAGCUUCGAUCCUUACAAAUAAAGUAAGUAGCCGAUUAACUUGGAGAAACAUUAACAAAUGAUAUGUUAGAUUCACUAAACCAAAAUAAAAGUCAACGGAUAGGAUUAAGCCAGUGGCUCAGAUGCAUUAGAUAGCCAAGCAUUAGAUAUUUUUUAGCAGUUGAUGUUAUUCUUCUAUAAGACAGACCCCAAAGCAAAACAGAGGAAGAAAAAUAGGUUUAUUCAAAGAUAACAAAUAAUAGAUAUUAUGCUGAGAUGUUAAUUCUUCCUUGUCCUCAGUUUUCUCCACAGAACAAAGGCACAGGAUGUAAUUUAUAACCUCCAACCCUAGCCUGUGGUUGACCAAUUAGAAUUCCUUGCAGUAAAAUUGGGCCAACGGCCCAGCUUCAGGCUCAAUGUAUAGACGAUUCAGACCAAUGAGAUCUUGCCACACGUAGCUAUGAGUCCAGGACUGAAAUCCUUACACAGAUUCUAACCAGAUGUCGAUCUGAAAAACAACUGUUUCAAUUGAUCGUUAAUUCCAUAUUGACCUCUAGUCCUCUGCGUUGUGUAUUAUCUUAAAACAUUCUUACAAUAUUCGUCAAAUGUUUAUAUUUGUUUGUGUUGUCAACCAAACACAAUUCAAUAUUUUUUUUUUGUAAUACAGUAAAGAUCCUUAAAUUAAGGUUAUUUUUACAAAC
rnacentral:lncRNA from 13 species